AGAGUGCAUAACUCAAUGGCAGAGCACAUGCUUUGAAUGCAGAAGGCUCCAGGUUCAAUGAUUGCUGUCUCCUGGUGUGUCUG